CCAGACCCACAAGGAGCACCAUGGGGAAAAAGAAAUUUACUGUAGAGGCUCGGAAGGUGCGUGAGGCCGGUGAGCAGAUGGAGAAGAGCGCCAUCUGCGGAAAGAGGAGUAUAGCCCCAACACCUGUCAGCUCAGACCCCAGGAUCGUCCUCAGCCUCACCUUCUUCAGACAGAAGAGUAUCAGGAACUUGGCGGUGUUGAUCAAAGGUAGUAAAGGGCAGAAAAAGCUUCCCACCCAGACCACGGUCUGAGCGUAGAUGAGCCCCAACACCUCGUCAGGCACUUGGAACUCCAGAGUCCCCAUCAUACGACCCAACGCCCCAGGACAGAGGCCGCAGAAUAUCCUGAAGGGCAAGAGUCAGGACGUGGGUGUCACUAACCGGUGCAGGAUGCACAGCAAGUAGAUGAGCCCGAUGACAAAGACGG